UACGAAGGGGGCUAGCGUUGUUCGGAAUUACUGGGCGUAAAGCGUACGUAGGCGGAUUGUUAAGUGAGGGGUGAAAUCCCGAGGCUCAACCUCGGAACUGCCUUUCAUACUGGCAAUCUUGAGUCCGGGAGGGGUGAGUGGAACUCCUAGUGUAGAGGUGAAAUUCGUAGAUAUUAGGAAGAACACCAGUGGCGAAGGCGGCUCACUGGCCCGGAACUGACGCUGAGGUACGAAAGCGUGGGGAGCAAACAGG
rnacentral:rRNA from 1 species